rnacentral:rRNA from 1 species
ACAAGUGUCUAACGGGACUGCCGGUUUAAUAACCGGAGGAAGGUGGGAUGACGUCAAGUCAGCAUGGCCUCUAUGUCCAGGGCUACACACACGCUACAAUGGCCGGUACAGUGGGUUGCCAACCGCGAGGUGGAGCUAAUCCUCAAAGCCGGUCUCAGUUCGGAUUGUAGGCUGCAACUCGCCUGCAUGAAGCCGGAAUCGCUAGUAAUCGCGGAUCAGCAUGCCGCGGUGAAUACGUUCCCGGGCCUU